CUUGCUACUAAAUUUUUAAGGGAAGCAUCAGCUUUCUGAUUCUUAGAAUAUAUAGUAUCAUGGAUAAUAAAAGAAAUGCAUAGGAAACUAGCUGACGUGACCUAAUGUUUUCAAUGGGCUGAUGGCGUUGCAAACCAAAUUCUCAAAAACGGCAUGUUUAGCAAUAAUACAGAUAAACAUUUUAGUCAGAGAGCAAAUAAAUAUAACUACGC